ACCAACUUAUCUUGUUGAUUGAUAAAGUGCCAUGGUUGAUUGGUGGAGAAGGUGUGCGGACAGAACUGAGUUUACCAAAUGUAGAAAAAACAAUUGGCUCAGUUUCAGAGCUUACAGAAGAUGAAGCUGAAGAUCGCUUGCAAGAUGCUAUUCAGGAAAAGUUUGCUGUUUUUGGGGAU